GGGCCAGUAGCUCAGUGGUAGAGCGCUAUCCUUAUAAGAUAGAUGUCCUUGGUUCGAUCCCAAGCUGGCCCA
rnacentral:tRNA from 1 species